GAGCUGUGUGUGCUGCUGGAGGCUGAAUUUGGUGAGCUCUCUUUACCCACAAAGCUCAUGCUGUAGAAUCCUGGGGACAGGCCUGGAGGUUAUUAGUGUGAAGGCGUUUUUAUUGUACGUUCCACACCCCAAGUUGCCAGAGAGCAAAACAUAAUUCAACAAUCUGGCCAAAUGGUCAACAGUGAAGGUUAUACAUGUCAUUGAAGGGCAUGGAGAAAUUAAACAUUCUUCUCUCCCCAACCUCUCUCUCCAAAGACGACUUGUUUGCCUUAUGUUGUAAUCAAUAAGGAACGCCGGCCUAGGAAUCAGGCUGACCUGGGAUCCAGCUCCGCUCCUGUGAUGUCCUAUUUAAAUGUGUUUAAUCCUCCCUUACAAAAUAAAAAUAAUUGCGGCUACCACUUUUGACAUCUGCUGCAUUAAAGAUACUUCAGGUAUGGUAUUACCUCGUUUAAUUAUUACAAUAAUUCAUAAAAUAGGUAUUGGUGUUCGUUUUGCAUUAGAAUGCAGGCUUGGAGAGGUGAAGUUACUUGUCUAAGGCAAGCAAAUAAUAAGUAUAAGAAGAGCCGGGCACCGUGGCUCAUGCCUGUAAUCCCAGCACUUUGGGAGGCCGAGGCGGGCAGAUCACCUGAGGUCAGGAGUUCCAGACCAGCCUGACCAACAUGAAGAAACCCCGUCUCUACUAAAAAUACAAAAUUAGCCGGGCGUGGUGGUGCAUGCCUGUAAUCCUAGCUACUUCGGAGGCUGAGGAGAAUCGCUGGAACCCAGGAGGCAGAGAUUGCAGUGAGCCCAGAUCGCACCACUGCACUCCAGUCUGAGCGACAGAGGGAGACUCUGUUUCUAAAUAAAUAAAUAAAUAAAUAAAUGUAAAAACAGAGAAAAGUACAAUUUCCAUGGCUUUUGUCAUUCACACCCAUUUUUAAUAUUUUUGUCAUAUUUGAGUCAUCUUUUUGUAGUGAUAGAAAUAAAACAUUACAAAU
rnacentral:lncRNA from 1 species